GCAAGGGGGAAGGGAAUCCCUUUCCUAGCCAGGGGAACUGAGACACACAACACCUGGAAAAUCGGGUAACUCCCACCCCAAUACUGCGCUUUAAGCAAACAGGCACACCAGGAGAUCAUAUCCCACACCUGGCCGGGAGGGUCCCACACCGAUGGAGCCUCCCUCAUUGCCAGCACAGCAGUCUGCUAUAUCGCGGCAAGGCAGCAACGAGGCUGGGGGAGGGGUGCCCGCCAUUGCUGAGGCUUAAAUAGGUAAACAAAGCUGCUGGGAAGCUCGAACUGGGUGGAGCUCACAGCAGCUUAAGGAAACCUGCCUGUCUCUGUAGACUCCACCUCUGGGGACAGGGCACAGUAAAAAUAACAAAAACAGCAGAAACCUCUGCAGACGCAAACGACUCUGUCUGACACCUUUGAAGAGAGCAGUGGAUCUCCCAACAUGGAGGUUGAGAUCUGAGAAGGGACAGACUCCCUGCUCAAGUGGGUCCCUGACCCCUGAGUAGCCUAACUGGGAGACAUCCCCCACUAGGGCAGUCUGACACCCCACACCUCACAGGGUGGAGUACACCCUGAGAGGAAGCUUCCAAAGCAAAAAUCAGACAGAGGUGUCUGUGUGUCUUAGUUUACUGUGCCCUGUCCCCAGAGGUGGAGUCUACAGAGACAGGCAGGUUUCCUUGAGCUGCUGUGAGCUCCACCCAGUUCGAGCUUCCCAGCAGCUUUGUUUACCUACUUAAGCCUCAGCAAUGGCGAGCCCCUCCCCAGCCUCGCUGCUGCCUUGCCGGUAGAUCACAGACUGCUGCGCUAGCAACGAGGGAGGCUCCGUGGGUGUGGGACCCUCCCGGCCAGGUGUGGGAUACGAUCUCCUGGUGUGCCUGUUUCCUAAAGCGCAGUAUUGGGGUAGGAGUUACCCGAUUUUCCAGGUGUUGUGUGUCUCAGUUCCCCUGGCUAGGAAAAGGGACUCCCUUCCCCCUUGCGCUUCCCAGGUGAGGCAAUGCCUCGCCCUGCUUCAGCUCUCGCUGGUCGGGCUGCAGCAGCUGACCAGCUCCGAUCGUCCGGCACUCCCCAGUGAGAUGAACCCAGUACCUCAGUUGAAAAUGCAGAAAUCACCGGUUUUCUGUGUCGCUCGCGCUGGGAGUUGGAGACUGGAGCUGCUCCUAUUCGGCC
rnacentral:lncRNA from 1 species